rnacentral:rRNA from 1 species
AUUGAACGCUGGCGGCAGGCCUAACACAUGCAAGUCGAGCGGGGGAAGGUAGCUUGCUACUGGACCUAGCGGCGGACGGGUGAGUAAUGCUUAGGAAUCUGCCUAUUAGUGGGGGACAACAUCUCGAAAGGGAUGCUAAUACCGCAUACGUCCUACGGGAGAAAGCAGGGGAUCUUCGGACCUUGCGCUAAUAGAUGAGCCUAAGUCGGAUUAGCUAGUUGGUGGGGUAAAGGCCUACCAAGGCGACGAUCUGUAGCGGGUCUGAGAGGAUGAUCCGCCACACUGGGACUGAGACACGGUCCAGACUCCUACGGGAGGCAGCAGUGGGGAAUAUUGGACAAUGGGGGGAACCCUGAUCCAGCCAUGCCGCGUGUGUGAAGAAGGCCUUAUGGUUGUAAAGCACUUUAAGCGAGGAGGAGGCUACUUUAGUUAAUACCUAGGGAUAGUGGACGUUACUCGCAGAAUAAGCACCGGCUAACUCUGUGCCAGCCGCCGCCGUAAAAC